GGAAGUGGGGAUGACGUCAAGUCCUCAUGGCCCUUAUGGGUAGGGCUUCACACGUCAUACAAUGGUCGGUACAGAGGGUUGCCAACCCGCGAGGGGGAGCUAAUCCCACAAAGCCGAUCGUAGUCCGGAUCGCAGUCUGCAACUCGACUGCGUGAAGUCGGAAUCGCUAGUAAUCGUGGAUCAGCAUGUCACGGUGAAUACGUUCCCGGGUCUU
rnacentral:rRNA from 1 species